rnacentral:snRNA from 1 species
AUCGCUUCUUGGCCUUUUGGCUCAGAUCAAGUGUAGUAUCCAUAGCUUAAUACUAGAUCCAUAAUUCUCUUUAGGAAGAACCUAAGCUCAGUGUUCUGAUUGGAAGUUGACAGGCGGACAAGUAGUCUCAGAGCUGAAUUUUACAUGAGAUAAAAAAUUAUAGUUCUUGGAGUU